CGUGUGCCACUGUAAAACCUCGCUUGCCUGCCCCACCGUGUGGUUUUAGACUAUAAUGUGAGAAGACAAAGUGGACUAGGGAUUGAUCCUUUCAAGAGCCGUCCUGGCUUUGGCUCACUGGGAACAUCUCCUCUCCUCUAUUCUCAGUGGUGUCAGAGUGCUUACUGCAGAUUCCAAGACAGCCUCAUCCUUUCUUUUCCUUUUGAAAACCCCAACUAAAACAAGCAUGGGCUCUUUGGAGACAGCAAAAAGACGUCUUGCUGGAACAGACCAGACACGGUGGUAAUCCCAGUGGUGGAAGGAGGGGAAGUGAAGACAGGUGAGUCUUGAGACUCACUGGACAGCUAGCCCAACCUACUUGAAGAGUUCCAGACCAAUGAGAGACUCCAUUUUGGAGUAGGAGGGUCUGCUGUCUAUAUGUUACUUUCAUUGGUUAAUAAAGAAACUGCCUUGGCCUUUUGAUAGGCCAGCCCUUAGGUGGGUGGAGUAGAGAGAACAGAAUGCUGGGAGAAAGAAAGCAGAGUUGGGCAGACGCCAUGAAGCUCUGGCUCGAGAUAGACGUAGGUUAGGAUCUUUCCUGGUAAACCACAACCUCAUGGUGCUACACAGAUUAUAAGAAAUGGAUUAAUCAAGAUGUGAGAAUUAGACAAUAAGAGGCUGGAACUAAUGGGCCAGACAGUGUUUAAAUGAAUACAGUUUCUGUGUAAUUAUUUUGAAGAUAAGCUAGCUGGGCACCAGGAACACAGCCUGCUGUUCCUCUUUCAACAUCAUUUCAAAUAAAAGGUGGAAGAUUCCUGAGGAAUGACAUCUGAGGUUGUCCUCUAACCUACACACAGACACACACUCACAUGCACGCAUACACACACACAGACACACACACACACACAGAGAAGCAAAACCACAACACAAAAGCAAAACCAAACUUUUUUUUUUUUUCAUUUUGAGACAAGGUCUUGCUCAGCUGUCUAAGUUGGCCUGAACUUGAAGUCAUCCUGCCGCAGCACCUGAGUAACUGGGAAGACAGAUCUGGGCUAUCAGGCCUAGAAGGAGAAGAAAAAUUAUGGAUACCAUCAAAAUUAAUAAAGAUUCGCUUUGAAAAGGAGAAACCUAUUGAAACAGAAAUGACUGCUUGUCCACAAUGGUGACAACCAUACAGAUGGUAAGGAAAGCCAUUUAGGGUUGGAGCAGGGUUCUGCUCUAAUCUUUGCAGGAAAAUACACAUCAUCAAAAAUUCAGGAGACCCUGGAUGUUUGAAUGCUGACAGAAGAAAAAAUAACUAUCCACUAAGGAGCAUCUAGAAAACAGAAUAUGGUUUAUGAAUCCAGGUAUGGGUUACACUUACAUUUACACACACACACACACACACAUUUAUAUAUUCAGCUGGUUUUGGAGUUGGCUCUGUACUUCUCUAAAUCCAAGCAUGUUGUUAAAAGGAAUAUUCAGAGUUCCUGUCUCAUAUUAGGAGCCAUCUGGUAUGGGACAGAAGAAAGACUUUAGGAAAAAUUUUUACUUUCUUCCUGCCUUUUUUGUCUAUAUCAUAUUCUUCCUUUAAUGUAGGUUUAUGUGAAUGAUGUUUAAGUUUUCCAUGAUGAACAAUAGAUUUUCCUACAGAUCCUUUUCGUACAGUAAUCUCUGAAGUUUCCAGGAAGAAGAUGGGGCCCCACAGCAACAACUCUACCUGGUUGAGAUGACAUCGUGAUGCAGACAGCGUUGCUAUAAGACUGCUUCUUUUGUGUGUGUGGGGUACCAGCUGAUGAAAUGGUGCACCUUCUCAUGUCAUUCUGGCCAGAACUCCAAAUAAGAACUUUGAAAGAAAAAAAAAACUCUAUGCUUGGAAAUUGUCUGCAACUAUACUACACAGUAAUUUUGAAACUUAACCAUCACUUUAAUUUUGCAGGAUCCCAUUAAGAGACCGUCACCCCCAUGACAGCAGGAAGCAAUUCUAGAAGAUGAUGCCCCCAUCCCAAAAAAGUUUGUCCAUAGGGUUGGGAACACUGUUUAGGGUUGUUGAUUAUUAUUUGUACUCGAUAGAGGGUUGGGGUGAAAACUAUGUUUGUUAAAAAGCAGGGGGAUAGUAAUAGUGGGCAAUAGAGUGAAUACUUGUGAGCUAUUAUUCAUGGAUAAUUUACAUUGGUAUAGUUUUGUAUAUUGAUACAAGUUCAAAUUAUAUUUGUUGGGGCUGGAGAGAUGGCUCAGGGGCUAAGAGCAUUGCUUGCUCUUCCAAAGGUCCUGAGUUCAAUUCCCAGCAACCACAUGGUGGCUCACAACCAUCUGUAAAGAGGUCUGGUGCCCUCUUCUGGCCUGCAGACA